UCUUAAAUUCCACAUACAUGAGUGAAGUCAUAUGGUAAUUGUCUCUGACUGGCUCAUUUCACAUAAUGCCUGCCAGUUCCAUCCACGUGGCUGCAAAUGAUCGUUUUGCCACUUUUCACUGGGUUGUUUCUUUGCUGUUGAUUUUUAGGAGUUCCCUACAUAUUUUGGAGGUUAACCCCUUACCAGAAAUAUGAUUUCCAAUCUCUCUCCCUCCAUACAUUGCCUUUUCAUCCUGUUGAUGGUUUCCUCGGUUGUGCGGAAGCUGUUUAGUUGAAGCUGCCUUUGUUUUUGGCGUAUGAAUAAACUCUCAGAACUGCUUUUGCCCUGAAGGCACUGGCCGACUCCACAGGGAGCUGCCGCAAAAUGGAGCCAUAGAUCUGCUCACAGGCCUCGAGCUUGAGAAGAUCAGAAAAGCGUAAGUCCAAGGGACCCAACACGCAAGCUCAGGGUAAGGUGACACCAGACUUAAACCCACGUUCUUUUGGCACAGGGGAAAGGUUCCUGGAAGGCAGUAAACCAAGCCCAGGCUUCCUGAGGAAGAGAACACUGAAUUCACACUUCAGGGGUGGUGCGCAGAGCAUCUUCAUGGAAAUUAUUUGACGUGAUUUCUAACUACGACCCUGUGUGGCAGGCAGGGCAGGCGUUAUUAUUGGCGUUGACAAAGAAACAUAGCUGCUCAGAAGUGCCUGUUUCAGGACCACGUGGACAGAAAAUUGCAAAGCUGAUAUUAGAGCCCAGGGCUCCUGGCUCCAAGCUUCUCUUUUGGCAAUAAGGUCCCAACCAUCACACCCACAGAAUCCUGAUCUGGGGAGGCGUCUGCCAGUAUUCUAGUACCACACGGAAUCAGCUCGUUCACAAACAACAGGAACUCUACAGACGCAAUAAAUGUGAGGGCUUUCAGG